GAUAAAGGCUAGAUGUCAAAAGGCGUCCAAGUUUGCUUUUCAGGUCUGCAUAAACACAGCAUUGAAGUAAAGGCAUUUUAUACUAGAGUAUUUUUUUUCUUUAUGUUGUAUCCUUAUUGGAAAUCUGGACGCCAAGGCCUGGACUCUGAACGGUAAAGGACUGACGCAAGUUUGGAACCACCUGUGACCAGUUAGGGGCCCAUGGCUGACAGUAAGGCACCAGUAUGGCUGAAAGGUAAACGCAGGUUUUGUAGCAACAGACAGUUAUGGAAGUAAAUCUGUGCCAUCUGAUUUUGAAUUUGAAUUUCUAAAGCUGAGUUUUUUUUGCAUCAAAAUCAGACUUUGAAUUUACACACUUCUUUUUAAAAGUUGAAUUCUUACUAAACAAAUCUCUUGAGAAACUGAUUUUUUACACUGAAUUUAUUUCAUCAUUGUGAAAAAAAUAAGUGUCAGAAAUAAAAAUGUGUGCUUGAAAUUCAAUAAUUUCGAAAUUCAAAGUCUGAUUUUGAUGCAAAAAAAAAUUCAGCUUUAGAAAUUCAAAUUCAAAAUCAGAUGGCACAAAAUAACUUCCAUAGACAGUACGCUGCCAUCCGUGUAAUGUUUUUUUUUAAUUGUUUUAAGGGACGACCUUGAAUUUUUGCACAAAGACAAAACUUAACCGUAUCCUGCAUGUUUAAAAACAGUCGCAGAAAAGUCCAGACACAACAGACCUACUUUUUUUUAAGCACGAUGUUAUCAUCAAAUUUAAAACAAACACAUAUUUAUUAAAACAAAAUUUAACUAUUAAAUAUGUUGUUUUUCACUAUGUCCAUUAAAAUCAGAGUUUUGGUAAUAAAAAAAGUCCUGAACCGACGGUCUUCUGAACACAUAAUAACAGGCUGUAAUGAAACCGAGUUUGACUGGAUACUGUAGAUAAACGAAGAGAAGCUCAUUACAGUCCUCAGGUUUGGAAAACCAAAUCCUGCUCACUAAUUGUUGUGGGCCGUGAGAGUGAAAGAGUGCCAUCUUUCAAUUUUGGCUUCUCUCAUAAUGAAAUAAAAGCAAACACGGCGGCAUGUAAAUGGGUAAAACAUAAUAUUCAUUAUGAAAGUAAUUAUGGAAAUGCAAAUCAAUCAGCUGCUUCUCACAGAUGGGGUUGUUUUGAUGAGAGGGAAGUAUAUCAUGCUCGCUGCAUCAGACGAUGAGUUUAUUUUCAGAACGCGGCUUAUUAUUAUUAUUAUGAAGAAGAAGAAGAAGAAGUGUCCUACUUCAGAUUGGAGGGUUGUAAACUGUCUUUGACUUGGAGAACUGACCUCCUGCUGCUGCUGCUCAGGAUACUUUACAAGAUCUGGUUUCUCUUAUCUCUUAGGAUAAAAAAAAAAACGAUCUUUGCCAGAGGCUUAAAUCUUUUUGCAGCAGGGAGUGGAUAAUUCUUUCUGUUGUCAUUUUACAUUUGGGGUGAUUGAGGGCAGAACAGGGUGUGUUGGCAGUGUGGGAGCUGCAGUGAUCCAUGCCAGUGUUGGAGGACUCGACUCGGGCUUGACUGGAGAUGAUCUGGACUUAGAUGAUGAAGAGAAGGUGUCUGCACUUUUAUUUAGAGACUGUUUUUGAAAGUUUAUAUCCGUCUGAUUAUUUAUCAAGUUUUAAAGGUGGGGUAGGAAGGAAUCUGUUAAAAAAGCAUCUUUUUUUGUGGUGUAUAUACAAAAAAGUUUUUAAUAUCAGUCAAUAGUUAUUAGUUAUGGAUGACAUUUGGGAAUAUAACGAUAUCUCUGUGUUUUGUUAUGUCUGUGUCGUCAACAUUUUAACAUUUUUUGAGCGGUCCGCUCUUUCUAAAUGUAAACAAAGCUGUUCUCCACCUCCCCGACCUGAUUGGUUGUGAGGCAGACGCUGCUCCCCCGUGUCGUUCAGGAGCCCAAACAAAGUUAGCGUGCUACAAUAUCGGACAGUAGAAACCAACCAGAAAGUUCGGAAAAUUGUCUGAAUCCUCCUUUGGCCACGACUGCCGACACAAGCAAGAAAACAAAGUAAAUACCGGAGACUCUGGAGGAAUAACGGGCGCUUAAAACGGAGGUAGACCGGACAAGAGCUAAAAAGCCGGGUCAACAUAAACAAUGGGGGACGCUUGGGGAUCUUGGUGACCCUGUAACCUUUCUGCUGGACAGGUAAACCGCUUUAACAAAGUAAGAAAAGUGUCUGUAACAGAAGUGUUUCUUGUCAAACGGACCUGCUGUAGCGUGUUGUAGCGCCAUCGCUAAACUGUUGACCUCUGGUCCUGGACUAUGUCACUUUAUCCUCGUUGUAGAAGUCCUGCAAACAUUGUGUUUGCUGGUAGUCUGUUGGCAUCUACAGUAGCACCAAUGCUUUUGACUUUCACCUUGACUGGGCCCCAUUUGUAAUGAUCUGAAGUAUUUAUCUGCAUUAUAUCUGAAUUUGAUUGGAAUGAUACGAGCGAGCAGGAGUGUCUGUUUGUGGGCGGGGCUUGUUGGAGCGGAGAGGGAGGGGAAAACUGGUUUGGAGGGGUAGAGUUUACAUUCAAGAUUUCUCCCAAAAACUGGAACUAACUCAGAUCCUGACUACCCCACCUUUUAAGAGAGGACAUUCACUGCUGUGUUGUUCAGCUUUAGUUUGGAAUAUUGGUCCGAAUCUAAUCUUUAUAAAAGAUAAUAUAAUUUCUACUCAUUCAAAAGUUCCCUCACUGCAUAAAAAUCCAAUCUCGGUGAGUGUUUUUGUCUCAUUUAUCACAAAAAGUGUCUUAUUAGUCUUAAUUUGAGCCGCAUCCACCUCACAAGAUGAGAAAAAAAGGCUGAUUUUAAGAAAAGACAUGCCAGAAGUCAGAAUUUAUUUGCUUGCUAUGAGCAAAAUACUCUGCUAACAGAAAAGGAAAAAUUUGCUUUUUUGUGUUUGUUGAAAUGAAAGUUAGAAGAAGGUUUUUUAUUUCAAGAAUGUUAAAUGUGAUUUGGAGGAUUUUUUCCUACUUAUUACAAGAAAUUUGGUUCUUAUUUUGAGCAUUUAUUCUCAUCAUGAAUCAGACAUUUUUCCAGACUUGUCAGGCCAAAAAUCAGUAAUUUAAGAUUUGUCUGUUUCUGAGUUUCGUAUCCUGGUGUUUCAAGUGGACUCCGUGUUUCGUGCAGAUUUCCACAGAGCUGUAUUUGUCCUGGAAUCUUCCCCGAUCAGUUGUCAGUCAGUUUCCUGCGUCUGUGGAACAACAGGCUUACUGCGUUUCGCUCCACGCCACUUUCAAUUACAGUCAUCCUCAUCAAACCUGCUCUGCCAAAUUCUUCCUGCUCAGUAUCACGGCGCCUCGGAGUGCUCUCGUGUUGAAAGCAGACCGCCCCUGCUGAGCCGGGCCGGUUCUGUGAGGAAGAAAAAGCCCGAACAUGUGCAGUUCCCCUUUUUUGGUGUAAUGGAUGACAUGAAGGAAAGCCAGAAAAACCGAGACGUUUUUGUCAAUUUUCCCAAAGAGUCCAUUUCAGUCUCUUAAAGUGUGAUUGCAGAUCUGUGUCGGUCGUUUUCUCAGAGUUUGACCAAAAAAAGAAAAUCCACAGUGGUGAAAUUUUGCAGGUUAGCAAGAGACACAUUUUUGGUCAUUUUCACGACAGCUGUCCAAGUUUAGUGACGUGUUUAGUGACGUGUUUAGUGGACACGAUUUUGACCAUUUUUGCAGGAGGUCCGUGUUCGUCUCUUUUGGUCGAUUAUGAAGAAUUUCAUGUCAGCUGAGGGACUUUUUUAGGACUUUAGAAACAGGUUUUUUCACCAUCAGUGGGCAGAAGUGAAGAAAAAGGUCAACAGAGGUCACAUUUGGAAAACAAAAGAGUCCAUAGUGAUCACUUCUUGGGUUGUUUUUACAAAAGGUGGUGACUCUCUUCAAUAGUUUACGGUGGUCUCUUUUUUUUGUGACCGUUUCCUUGUUGGUGACUAUUUUAGAAAACCCCGAGCAGGAUGCAGGUGGUCUCUUCUUUUGUUGAACAUGCAACAGAUUCUUGAAGAAGUUCAUAAAAGUUUCAUGUCAGCCUCUCUCUCGGACAAGUUUCCUCACUUGUUGCAUUUAUUUCAAGUAUUCAGAGACUAUUUGUAGUUGGUCUACGUUGGUUUUUGCAACAUAAUCUCACUGAGCAAUAGACAACUAUUACACGUCUAGGUUUUUUUAGACCACAUUUCAACCAUCAGGAUUCUGUACUUUAACCCAUUAUUCGAUAACUAUUUAUUUCAAAAACCAACUGUGAGUCACAUAACUGAUCUCCAAGUACUUAACCCAAAUUAUUAUGAUAGCCGUUGAGCGAUAUACAUUGUGUUAAAGAUUUAAACUCGGUCUAAAUUUAGACGUUUAAAAAAACUUUCAUUUUUAGACCUGUGGUAGCCUGAUUUUAAACCAGUCGUCUAGACUAUAUUUAGACGUCUGUUAGACCUCUUUAGACCAAAAAAAUACAGUUUCAGCUCAUGCAAAAAAGUCAAAUAUAAUGACCUGAUUAAAAACUACGGUGAAGCUGUCCUAAAACUGGACCAUAAAUAUAUCAACAUGUAGUGGUCAUAUUUUAAACUCGAUUUCUUCCCCGUGAAGCAGCCAAGUUUGAAAUUUAAGGAAGGAAAAGACGCCGUGCUCGCUGUUUGCAGGCCAGUUACUCCAGCCAGUUAAAUCAAAGCGCCGUUCAGACAGCAGACGAGGUUUGAAAAAUAAACAAAUCCUCUUUUUCUGCUCCAGUAUUUCCACAUUUCCACCAGGAACAUGUUGUGAAGUAAUCCAAACAGGUGUUAAGUUGCGAGUCUUGUUAAAAAAGAGCCAAUAAGAUACCCAGGAUUUAGCAAAAUCUCACAGUGAAGCAACACUUGAAAACAACAUAACUUCACUCUUAAGAGAGGAAAUAGAAAAUAGAAAUAUUCUCUCUUCUCUUGUACGUUUAUUGUUUACAUCUUUAUGAUUUAAGCUCAUAUUUGAGAGUAAAAUGUGGAAUUAUCACACAAAAGAUCAUAUUUGUAUAUUUCCAUUUCUCGUGUUGAAUCUAUGAUAGAUAUCACAGCUAAUGGCGUCCUUCUAGUCUGACCAAAACAGUCAUUAUUUUUGCAGAAAUGACUCAGCGAACCUGUUUACACAAAGUUCAGGUACCUUGUUAACGGUAAUCGACACCAUCCAGCUGUGAGAGGCCGCAUGAUAUAAAAAUACAGAACUAAAAAAGUGUUUUUUUUUACUUCCAACUGUUUUACCGUCGGAUAAAUCUGACAAAAGUUUAUAAAAAAAAGAAUCAAAGAAUAAAAAAGUCAACUUUUACAGCCCGCGGUGUUAGAAAAACUUCCGUCUCUAUAGCCGCCACAUCAGAGACCAAACCGUUUGACAGGUGAGCUAAUGAUUCAUGAGCCGGUGAUUCUAAUUCAGGGUCCAUAUGGAUGUGAAGGCCUGCAGGUUUUUAUGCCAGCCCUCUAAUCAGGGACUGAUUUACUCUGGGGGUGCAGGUUGAAUGUAAUUAUCUAUAAUCAGCUUCCUGCUAGGAUGCAAAAUUAGCUAAAAGUUCUGCUCGUGGGGUGAUCAUUUACAUUAACGGGUAUUUUGGCUUUUAUUGGAUAUGAUCAGGACUGAUUUAGGAACUGUUCAGGUUGGUGUUUUUGUGGAAAUUGUUCAAUAAAGUACGGAGAGUAAGGAAAAUAAAUACGUGUUCAGAUGGUGAUGAUUUAUGUGAAUGAGAGGGUGUCUGCACUUUUAUUUAUAGACUGUUUUAAUGUUUUUAUCCGUCUGAUUAUUUAUCAGGAUUUGAGAGAGGACAUUCACUGCUCUGUUGUUCAGCUUUAGUUCGGAGAAUUGGUCCCACACCGCAUAAAAAUCCAAUCUUGGUGAGUGUUUUUGUCUUGUUUCUAACAAAUGUUGUCUCAUUAGUCCUAAUUUAAGCCGCAUCCACCUCACAAGACAAAUAAAAAAGGCUUAUUUGAAGAAAAGACAUGCCAAAAGUUAGAAUUUAUUUGCUUGCAAUGAGCAAAAUAAUCUGCCAAUGGAAAAGGACAAAUGUGCUCUCCUGUGUUUGUUGAAAUGAAAGUUAGAAAAAGGUUUUAUUUUAAUAAGUUUAAAGGUGUUUUGGAGGUUUUUUUCCCUUCUUAUUACAAGAAAUUUGGUUCUUAUUUUCUCCGUUUACUAUCAUUAAAAAAAGACAUUCCCCAGACUUGUCAGGUGAAUACAGACAAAAAAAGAAGGAAAUCAAAUCGGAUUUUGAUGUUGAACAAACAAGAUCGAGUGAUCUCUAAGAGAAAAUGAAGAGUGGUGAUGUCGAUGACCUUUCAUUAUUUAGUAUUUGCAUGAUUUAGACGGCCUUUUACAGUAAUAAAGGGAUAUGCAGAGAAUUUUCAAACACUCUUUUUAUUGAUGUUUGCUCAUGACAGUUUAUAAAUAUGAGCUCUGGACACGUAUGCAUCCCUGCACCAUCACAGAAACGGGUUUUGAACCAUGUACUGCACAUGAAGUGAGACCAAACCCGCCCUAAACUCUCGUCCAUGAGUUUCUAAAAAGACUAAUCCUCUGAGUAAACGCCACUUUCCACUUUAUCUCAAUCAAUGAUGAAAGUGUCAGACUGAAUUUGGAAGUGGUUUUAUGUCAGUGCGGUGAUUUCCACUGCAGAGUCCAGUCUGUUUCUUCACACAGAAGACCUGGAGGUUUCUAUGAUGUUCUCUACAGAGACAGAAAUCCUGCUUUUCUUUGCAGCUUAAUGCUGAGGAAGAUUAUUUUGGCACUUUUGAACUAUUUGCUCAUGCAGUCAUUACCAACCUGUUACCAAUUAGCCUAAUUAGAGCGUUUACUUUCCUCCAGAUGUUUUUUUGAGGAGCAUUCAACAUCUUUUUUCAGACUUUUGGAAAUAUCUUACAGACAUCCACAACACUUCUUUUUUAAUCAAACCUUUGAAAUCUUGAUUUUCUUUCUUCUCUUCUACAUUAAAUAUAAAGUUUGAAUGAUUUUAAAACCUGUUGGAUCUGAUUUUUCUCACAAAACAGGUGCUGUAUUAUCCAUCCAUUCAAUCUAGUAAAUGAAAAACGAAAAAAUGAGUCAAUAUUUUGUUUUUUGUUUUUCUGUAUAACAAAAAAAUUAAAAAUUAGUAUUUGUUUUUGCACUUUCAGUUCAAAACAGAAUAUAUAAUAGAGAAGGAAACGAAAACAAAAUAAUAAAUCUGUUUUGAGCAUACGUGCAUGGAGGCUACAUUGGCCUUCCCAUGAUCCUCAGCGACAGUUACCAUGGCGAAGAUGCGACAGAGCGGUUCGAGCGCCAAAAUCUUCCGUUGUAACAGAGCUCUGGUUGUCACUUUUUCUACAGUCUUCCUCCUUCAGCGUGACCCUCCUGGCAUCUUUGAAUGAUACGUAGGAUGCGUCUGUCUCCAUGACAACAAGUUAGCCUUUCUCUACCGCUCUGGCCUGGAGUUUUUGGUCCACGUUGUUGGCUAUUUUGUGCGAACAAAGUAGAAAGGCACCGUGGGAAAUGGAGACAUCAAUAACCUGAAAACGAAAAGUAGAUUUAUUAUUUCGUUUUGGUUUCCUUCUCUGUUAUAUAUUCUGUUUUGAGCUGAAAAUACAAAAACAAACACUAAUCUUUUAUUUUUUGGUUAUAUAGAAAAACAAAUAAACAAAAUAUUGACUCAUGUUUUAGUUUUUCGUUUACUAGACUGAAUGGAAUAAUUGAAUGGAUGGAUAAUUUGUCCAUUUCUUUCAGACACACGGCUCAUAUUAAGUCUGAUCUCCUCUGAAUCAACAGUGACACUUACAUAAAGCUUCACCUUUAUUAUUAUUCCACCUGUCCCCCAAAGGGCUCCGCACAAACAAGAGUUUAGGAGUGUCCGUAUCUUUUUACUGCUUAUUUUGGGAGCUGAAAUCACAGUUCGUUUCUACUGAUGCAGAUUUUUGUUUUAUGUUUCAUUUAACGACCCAGACUCUGAAUGCAUGAAGCGGCUUUUUAUUAGGCUUUUGGAGUGCUUGUAAAGCUUUAAUUCCAGUUUGUGCGAGCUGUCACACACAGACUGAGAUUUUAAAAGCUGCAGCAAAUGACUCCAGUUUUAGCCGGGCUAAAAGACACAGUCGGCUAAAUUAAAAGUGCGGGAGAAAAAUAACAAUGAUAGAAAUCGUAAAAGCGUUUCCACUCCUGUUGUUUUGAGCUCUUUCCUCUCCUCUCUCCUCAGUUUGGUUUGGUGCAGCAGGUCACAGAUCAACAACUCUAUCAAAUACCUCCCACCUAUAUUUCAUCCGUUUCUGUGGGAUAAUGGACAGUAAAAACUUUCCUCUAAGAGGGGCAGGGAGCAGGUGCAGUUCAGGAGCUGCCAGUUGCCCAUUCCUGGAGAAGCGCCGGGGUCAAAGGUGAAGCAGGAAAUGUCCAAGAGCUCAAACCUCACUAUCAUUAGAGCCAGAUGAGUCUCUGCAGGCUGAUAGGAGGCAGACAGCCAAAGGAGAGCCUUGACCCUUCUCUGUGGUGACUAAUGGUUCAGACAUUGCUCACUAUAUCUCCAGGGCAGGAGUGUGUCACCCAGUCCAGAAGACCUGAGGGUGCACCGCCUGGAGCCCGGACGACCUCCGAUUAAAAUAAGAAUUAAAACUCUUCUAUUCCUGAUUCAUAAAAUCAAUCACGGUCUUUGUAAACACGCUGCAGUUUUUUUGUUUUUGAGGAGUUUUUGUUUUCUUGGCUUUAACUCCAGUCUUUAUCUGCUCAACCGCAGGGAUUUAACUGCAAAUCUGAACAUCCCUAUUCAGCGCCGUAGCUGCAGGUAAAACACACUAUCGCUGCAGUACAAAGUAGAGCGCUAAAUGAGCUGGAAGACAGAAGGGGGUUAAGGAAAUGCAAAACAUUUGGGACACACCAGUGUGUGUGCGAAGCUUAACAGAUAAACAAAGAAGAAGAAAAAUAUUGUUUUUCACGUAUAAGACUGAAUAAAAGAUGCCAAAGCUGUGCUCUGAGGGAUGACUGUGCCGGUCCUUCACUCUUAGUUCUCAGACGGAAAAGAAAAAAUAUUGUAUUGAUGAAAUCUUGAAUAGAUUGGAUUUACAAUCAUGGUUUCAAAUAACAUUUCUGUGCAACCAGAGCAAGUUUUUUUUUUUCUUAAAGGAGAGACGGAAACAGAAAAUUCAGCAAAGUUGUGAUUUUUUUAGAGUUAUACUGAUGGAUAAAAAGGACUUAUUAACAAAGAGGAUUAGGGCCACAAGAAGAAAAAUAAUCAUUACAGGAGGAAGGGAGAUUUUCUUCAAUUUCCAUUUCGAGAUUAAAGUUGAAAUUUCAAGAUUAAAGUCGAUAUUUAAAAGAGACAAAAUGUCGACUUAAUUCAUGCUGGUUUUUAAACCCGAAAUUUUGAUUUAUUUAAUCCAGAAAUUUCAACAUUAUUCACGACAUUUUGACAUUUUGACAUUUUGACAUUUUGAAAUCCCGAAAUUUCAACUUUAAUCUCAAAAAUUCAAUUUUUUAUCUCCAAAUUUCGACUUUAAUCUUAAAAUUUUUUAUUUUUAAUCUCAAAAUGUUUACUUAAACCUUAAAAUUUCGACUUAAACCUCAAAGUUUUCAACUUUAUCUUGAAAUUUUGACUUUAAUCAUGAAAUUUCGACUUUUAUCUCCUUCCUGUAAUUAUUUUUUUUCUCUUCAUGUGGCCCUAAUCCUCUUUCGUACAUUGUACAUGAGAUAAUCUAAUCUGACUGCUGGAUGAUAUUCACAUGCACUAACUCAGCUGACCCACAGACCUGAACAUGAAGCCAGUCGAUGAUUUUUACAGCACAACAUCAGAGAAGUGAGCGUCCAGGAUAUUUAAAUAAAUUCAAAAAAAUAAUAAUAAAAUGAAUAUUUGGUUCACAUUUUCACCAAAUCAGGAAACAAACUGCAGAAAAUAAAAGUGUUUUUUUUCCCCACCAGACUGGAAACUCGUGGACACACUCCGACUCCUGCAGUCGCUUCAUUUUUCACUUCCACAGACAGGUUCCCUCUUGACACCUGUUCCUUCGUCGGCCUUUUCUUUUGUUUUGUUUUGUCGUUCGGCAUCCUCAUAAAUUUAACAGUUUUGUCUCUUGUUCACCUUUUCGCGCUCUCUGCCAUCCAUCCAUCCACAGAUUUCAGGUUCUCCACCCAGAAGUUCUUGUAACCAUGUAUUGAUUUGUUCUGCUGCUGCUGUGGGGGAUCUUAUCACUCUCCAUCUGGGGUCGUCAAAAGGUGAAAUAUAUUUGUUUUUAGGGGCCGACGAAAUGCGUGAAUUAAGAUUUCUCUGUGAGAGACAGGAGCGUCGAGAUAAGAGCGACAAAAACACAAAACGGAAGUUAAUUUUAAUGCAAAUGUCACGAGAAUCAAUUAACGACAGAGCUGCGAGUUCAGGUACAGCGCCGCCUUGUUUUUUUGUUUUUUUUUCUUUCCUCUCAAAUCGAGCUGUUAUCUCUGCGCACUGACAGAUGCUUCCUCCUGGCAAAAGACGCCGAUUCCUGCAGGAUGCACACAAACACACACGCGAACACACAAAAGAGCAGCGAUGUUUAUAAAUGAUACUGGCGUGAUUGAGUCACAGGUUAGGAGGAGGGGGACUUUAAAAAAACUCGAUUAGGUGCAUGUGUAGCGUGGAGAUGAUUCUGCAGGAGGAACUGCAGGCUAAUGCUUUCUACAAAAGGGUCACAAAUGGAGGAGAGGAGAGAGCGAAGAGGUGGGCCCUGAUGCCGCUGAUUGGCCUCAAUCAUUGCAGGUGAUUGGGAGACUGGAUGAUGGAGGGCUUGCAGGAGAGAGAGGGAGCACUGCUACUGCUCCUCCUGCCUCAUAUAGAUUCAUUUAUUUGUGUCAGGGACAUUUAGCUCACUGAGUGGAUUCAGUGGGUGUACAGAGGCGGGCGUACAGAGACCAAUUUGGGUUGCGUUUUGCAGGAUUAGGGCGACGUCGCUCGCUGUCAAUACCACAAGCAGAAUAAAGCUAAACUGACAAGAAAGGGAGCGUUUACUGUGCGUGGAGACGUCAAUAACCCGCUCAGAGUUUGCACCGUUUCAGCCAUUAUGUCGAACCUUUUGGUAAUGAUCGGCUAAUUUGCAGAACAAGGAGGUCGCAUGCCUGAUGGAGUACAAGCAGUACACAAAAUGUUGCUAACAGAGCAGAGCUGCUGCAGACAGUGACCUUGAUAUUGUCCGCGGAGACGGCGUCAGCAGGCAGGAUACACAACCCGCCCAGUCACUGCGCGGCUAAUGAGCGGAUGCAUUGCUCAGCUUUAUCUUCUUAAUUAAUGAUUGAGACGUGACUCUGUGAGUUCCUCCUGGAUAUGCAUGCGUCAGCUCAGCGGGGACGUUAACUGUAGCGACUCACGGGGGGAUUGAGAUUCAGAAACAAAAAAGCAAUUAUCAGGUGAGGCUCUGAAGUGGAGAAAUGAGAAAAAAAAGGUCCUGUUUCCUCAUUGAAGUGUAAAUCCGUGACUUGAUUAAUUUUGUUUGUGCUCAAACAAAAUUUGCACCGUUGUGUUUAGCUCAUUUCACUGCACAUAUCCCAAUUACAAAGGGAGCAGGGCUUGUAAACAAAAAUCACAUGGACCCGCAUGGAAAUUAUUUAUCUGAAAUUAUUGCAAUAAAAUCAGACUGAGUCUGACAUUUUCUAUAAUUAUCUCCUCGUGAUAGAAAUAACUCAGUAUGAUGUUUACAGCCGGGGAAAAAAGAGCCGUAAUUGUGCUUUCAGGCUGACUCAGGCUAGCACAUUUCAAUGGGCUUAUUACUCUGUAUCCCAAACACAAACACAGAAUCAUUUCUCUUCUGUAUUUAUGUGUUUUUAUUAUUAUGAAUGAUUAUUGUGUUCAGUUCAAACACAAAAUAAGAUGAUUUUUCUUCUUUAGCUGCAUGAACACUAAAAAAGAGAGAGGUAAAUGUUGAAGAAACAGGUGCUCUCAGGUAGAAACUCAAGGUUAAAGUCUUCUUAUAGGAUAUGCAGAUGAGCCAUAUGUCUUCUCAAAGGUUAAGUGACUCAUGUACACAUAUGGUGGAGGUGAGGUGUCAUGAGGGGGUGGAGCGGGAAACAUGAAGCCCAAGUCUGGUUGAUGUUUGACUUACUUAUUUUUAGGCACCCCGUUUAAUACAGCAGAUUUUUCAGGUGUUACUUUGCCUUAUCAGAUAAUUGAAAGAGGAAACUGAUAGUAUAAAGGGAAAUUGGACUUGUUACACUACAGUUACAGGCGUUUGUUUCAAUAUCCUCUGCAUAACGGGUUUCCAAAUCCUCACAACUACACAGGUGGGUUUUCCCGCCCAGAAAACAGACCAAAUGGAGACAUUUUUAAAACAGUUCUACAACUGAUUACAGGAAACGCUCCGUCAUACAAAUGGAGCUGCAACCCAAACAUGUCAACAAUAGUCAAUAGUCAAUAGGGUGACCAUAUGUCCUCUUUUAACCGGACAUGUCCUCUUUUUUAGUGGCUUUGGGAGUUUAUGAAAUCCUUCAAAUGUCCGGGGUUUUGUCAGAAGUUUUGAGUUUGUGUCGCAUGGACUGACUGAGUUAGCGGCACGUAAAAAACACUCAAUCCAACCCAACCCGAAACACUCUCAGAAUUAACUAGGCGUGACUCCGCCCCCCCGCAAUCGUGUCCUCACCCUAAAAUAAAAGCUAUUUAGUUCAAUACAUGCUCCAGAAACUUUGAUUUGGCUUAAAGAAAAGACACCAGAAUUUUUAGUGUAUCUAACAAGUUCCUGAUAUUUGUAGAACCGUGGACCUGAGGUGGUCUAACUCUAACCCACUUUGAGCCAGGACUGUCACGCCAGGUAAUCAGGAAUGUUAUCAUGUGAGAUUGCUCUACUAUCCUGAUGUAAACAAGCGCAGAUGUUUCAUGGCGCUUCGUGGUGUGGUUUGGCGAGGCAUCGGCGACCUUCAUGUCGCUUCUCUUGGACUACAAAUGACCUUUGGAGGAGCAAGGGUUUUAACUGUCUAUAUAUUUCCGUAUUUUUCAGGUGAUAAGGCGCAUUAAGCAUUUGCACGAUGAUUGGUUUCUUGUUGCGCGUACUCCAGGCCAGGGCGGUCUUACAUGACUGCACUUCGAGUUUAGACAUGACAGUCAGGCAGUCUCGUAGACUGCUCAGGGGUCCUGUUACGGGGUCAAUCAGGUAGUGAAUUAGCGUAACGUAAUGCUCCGAUUAUCUAAUAAGCAGAGCGGCUUUGGUGCUAACCAAGAUCGUACUUACACAUUUCGACAGAUUGCGCAUUCUACCACAUAAAAUCUGUCAGUAAGCACAACAAGUAAUCAUUCGUAAGGCGCGCUGGAUGAUCAGGCGCACUGUCAAUGUUUGAGAAAAUUUCAGGAUUUUAAGUGCGCCUUAUAGUCCGAAAAAUACUUUAUAUCAUCAACCCUGAAAAAGUUACCCAACCAGGUGUGGAAAUUUAGUCUACCUGCGAUUUGGUGCAGAAAUAGCAAAGUCAACUUCUUGGUUCUUGGUCAGCGCCAUAAACCCAACGGUAAGCCACGCUAUUUAAAAAAAAAACCCAAAUGACUGUGCUGAGGUCUAGACGGUCACUUUUCCUGUCAAACAGUUUAAAGCUUCCAGAAGUUUCUCCGUAACGACACCUGAGUCUCAACCAGCUACGGCAUGACCUGAAUGGAGUCUGUCUUUGUGUUGUUUUAAAACGAGUACAAGUUUUAUUUCCUUAAUAUUGCGUUGAAUUAAGGUUAAACGAGGCGCAGGUAAAUGCUCCUCUUUUGCUUUUCACUCCUCUCAUCAGAAGUGUUGCAGAUGCAGGCCAGAGCCGCAGCUCCGUGCCAAGUGUUCUCGCCAUACUCCUGGCUGCUGCAGCGUUUAUUCACUGGAGUGAAAAUCGACAGCAUGCUCAGUUUCAGCCGCUCUGACUGCUCCUUUUAAAGAAGAGACUCUGCCAGUUUGUCACUUCCAGGAUGAGGACGGGUUCUUAUUAAGCAUGAGGUGUUGUUUCCUAGUGAAGUGUGGCAGAAUUAACAAAACACCAGACGAUGUCUCACAUUUAACAGUUUGAUUUUUUUCAAGUAUACCUUUAAUUGGAUUCUUACUUUCUUUUAAUACAAAGAGUCCAGAAAACUAAAAUAAAAUGAACAAACGAUCUUUUUCCUCUACAAAUGCAUGUAACCACAAACCUCCUUCUCUUUUGUUUCCAAGUUUUUGUUGCCCGGGGUGAAUCAGCCUCUAAGAAGAAACAGGAUUAUAAAUAGAAACAAUAUGAAAACAUAAUGAUAUUCAAGACAGUGGUUUAGCAGCGGAAAUAAGUGCUGAAUUGCAGUUCUUAAUUAUAGAUCACCGUGGCACUGAAAUAAACUAAAUAAAACUCUGAGAGGAGCAGAGGAAAAAGAAAAUAGUCGAGAAAUUGAACUGAGAGAGUCGCCACAGUUUAGUGUUUUCUUCUGGACUGAAAAACCGGAGAAAUCGAUCGCUCAGUGGGUAGAGCAUCCAUUUCCCGACUGGGUGGGUUGGGGUAUGCUACUCGCUCCGGUGGCCAAUUCGGACAUGCUACAUACUACCUCGACUACUACUUCGACAACUACUUGGCAAUUCAGACGCAGCCAGGGGCAAGGCGGACAUUUUCAGGGCGCUCUAAAUGCAAUCCGCAAAGCCGUGAGUUCCUAUACGUGACUUUAAGAAUGUUAAGAAUAUGGAUAGUGAUGUUUUGUUAAAAACGGUGUUAAGAACCAAGUUUAUUUAUUUGUAAGAUAAAAGAAACAUACUAGAAUCCCAAGUGUGUGUUUUAUGUCUCAUUGAGGUAGAAAUAAGGAUGCUGACUAUUUUUUAUUGUUUAUUUACAGUUUAAUGAAGAUGUGUGUCAGUAAAUAGUCAACUUUACUUCGACUCUGUCUUCAUUUGCUCUGGUUUAACCAGGUGUUAAGUCAGAGUUUCAACACACUGCACAACAACACUACAGCACUAAUGUUAAUACCCGUAAUUACAGCAAAAAUAAGGAUGUUUACGGCCUGGUUUGACAUAACAUUAUUCGUACACACUGUUGUCUUAAUCAUUCCUCUGAUUUUGGCUAAUAUGUAAGCAUUAAUGUUAAUAACUUGGAGAAUGGCAAAGUUGACUGUUGCAUAGUCAAUCGUCUCUCCUCACAUUUACAUCCACUGUAUUCUCAGUAAAGACCAAACGCUGUAUGAUUGACUUCUUUAUGCAAACAACAGAUAUUGUACUGAUUAUAUUUCACAGUAUAGCACACAUGCAUUAGUAUGUGGCAAAUAAUUUCCUAUCAUACAAUCUGUUGUUGCACUCCAAACUCUAGUGUAGUGCUGUGAGGCUGCAAUCAUGGAGUGUAACCAUGGCGAUAUUACCCAGUCUCAAAGCUCUGCAUAUAAAGUUGGCAGCCAGACUUCCACAAAGCAAAUGUCAAUCAGCUCACAACCUGUAUUGACGGUUGGCGCGGCUUCAGACGCCGUAACUUUAUUUUCUUACAGGCGGACUGCGAGGGGUGGAAAAUCAUUACAAAACAAGUCAACGGAGUGACUUUCAAAUCAUGAUUAAAUUAUUCCUAAUCAAUGUAGAAAAUGAGACAAAGAGAAUUGAUUGAUAAAUAGAUUCUUCAGGGAUUUUAAACAUUUAAAACUCUUUAAAUUUGUAAAUGUUUUCAGCGAUUCAGUUUGUUUCAUAAUCAGAAGAAAUUGAAUGAAAUUUAUUUGAAUAAUUAUCCUUUUGUUUGGUUGCUUUUGUCAAACAGCUAGAACAAACAGUGCUGCUGUAAUCGUUAUUUAAAAGUCCAGGUUUUUCUACAGAUUAAAUAUAAAUAACACUCGUUACUAUGUCGAAAUAAGUGUUAAAAAAAAGGUGCUUUUUGUCCUCAGGGGCCACCAUCCCUUCAUCAAAGAAGGGGUGAGCGUGUUCACGAGAUAUUUCUGCAUAAAAGUUUAUUAAAACUGGUUAUAAGUCUUUGAUUUUCCAGGUAUCUGUAAGCCGAGAUGAGGGAAACAGCUUUUCUUUAGCUUCUUAAAAAAUAAAGGAGUUAAAGACGAACUUACACUCUCAGCCAUAUGGUCGUCUCUUACAGGAUCACACUCUCCUCCUCGCUCUGAGUUCACGCACAAACACUUACAGAGUGAAAAUAGAGUGAAAAGCAGCCACACCUCCGUUUGAACAACUGACGGCCAAACAUGAGACCGAAGAGUAAAAAAGUUCAACAUAUGUUCGAGUUUUCAGGAACUUUUUGAGAACUUUAGUUUCUCAAAAAUCCAGUUUAUUAAGAAAAGGUGUAAAUCUUCAUCUUUAAAUGUGUUUAGAAAAGAAAUGAUUUAGGGGUCUCUGUACAACAGUGGAGUUAUUGAUUUUUGUUUGCAGCGUCUUGCUCUUGUAUCGUAAUUUGCAGACGAUCCCUGCGCAGAGAGAUCGGUAUUAUUCAUCCAGUUCGAAAAACGGCUUGUUUUUGUAAAACAAAUCGGUUUUUGAUUCUUGUAGCUAGUAGUCUGAGCUAUUACGACAUUAAAGAGGUAUCGUUUGUGUUUAGACAACGUUUCGUCUCAGAGUUAUUGAUCCCAGAAGUCCGAAUCUGUGAAUAUCUUUCCAACUUUACUGAACUUUUUCCCACUGCUGCCGUUUAUAAGCUUUCCGGCGCACGACACACAAAAACAAGCU
rnacentral:lncRNA from 1 species